rnacentral:rRNA from 1 species
GGAACUAGGCAAAAUAGUACCGUAACUUCGGGAGAAGGUACGCUGUUGAUGGUGAAGGAUUUACUCCGUAAGCUAUCGGCAGCCUCAGAAACUAGGCCGCUGCAACUGUUUAUUAAAAACACAGCACUCUGCAAACACGAAAGUGGACGUAUAGGGUGUGAUGCCUGCCCGGUGCUGGAAGGUUAAUUGAUGGGGUUAGCGAAAGCGAAGCUCUUGAUCGAAGCCCCAGUAAACGGCGGCCGUAACGAUAACGGUCCUAAGGUAGCGAAAUUCCUUGUCGGGUAAGUUCCGACCUGCACGAAUGGCAUAAUGAUGGCGGCGCUGUCUCCAGCAGAGACUCAGUGAAAUCGAAAUCGCGGUGAAGAUGCCGUGUACCCGCGGCUAGACGGAAAGACCCCGUGAACCUUUACUGCAGCUUUGCAUUGAACUUUGACCUUACUUGUGUAGGAUAGGUGGGAGGCUUUGAAGCUCGGACGCCAGUUCGAGUGGAGCCAUCCUUGAAAUACCACCCUGGUAAUGUCGAGGUUCUAACCCAGAUCCGUUAUCCGGAUCGGGGACAGUGUAUGGUGGGUAGUUUGACUGGGGCGGUCUCCUCCUAAAGAGUAACGGAGGAGUACGAAGGUGCGCUCAGCGUGGUCGGAAAUCACGCAAUGAGUAUAAAGGCAAAAGCGCGCUUAACUGCGAGACCGACAAGUCGAGCAGGUACGAAAGUAGGUCUUAGUGAUCCGGUGGUUCUGUAUGGAAGGGCCAUCGCUCAACGGAUAAAAGGUACUCUGGGGAUAACAGGCUGAUACCGCCCAAGAGUUCAUAUCGACGGCGGUGUUUGGCACCUCGAUGUCGGCUCAUCUCAUCCUGGGGCUGAAGCAGGUCCCAAGGGUAUGGCUGUUCGCCAUUUAAAGAGGUACGCGAGCUGGGUUUAGAACGUCGUGGGACAGUUCGGUCCCUAUCUACCGUGGGCGUUGGAGACUUGAGAGGAUCUGCUUCUAGUACGAGAGGACCGAAGUGGACGUACCUCUGGUGUUCGGGUUGUCACGCCAGUGGCACUGCCCGGUAGCUAUGUGCGGACGGGAUAACCGCUGAAAGCAUCUAAGCGGGAAGCCUACCUUAAGAUAAGGUCUCCCUGGGGGUUUAACCCCCCUAAAGAGCCGUUAGAGACCAUGACGUUGAUAGGUUCGGUGUGGAAGUGCGGUGACGCAUGAAGCUAACGAAUACUAAUUGCUCGUGAGGCUUGACUC